rnacentral:lncRNA from 1 species
CAAAGAAAUAUGCAAACAAGAUAUUUGUACAACCGACCGUCCCUAGAGCAAGUGGCAAAGGGCUUGGUGGCUGGUACUCGAGACCCAAGUUCGAAUCCUAGUUGAUUCAUAUUUCUAGCUAAGUUUAUUUCUAAAUGAAAUAAACGAAGCGGGUAGCGUGCUACCUAUCCUUCAAAAAAAAAAGAUAUUUGUACAUCUAA